AGUGAACGCUGGCGGUAGGCCUAACACAUGCAAGUCGAACGGCAGCACAGAGGAGCUUGCUCCUUGGGUGGCGAGUGGCGGACGGGUGAGGAAUACAUCGGAAUCUACUCUGUCGUGGGGGAUAACGUAGGGAAACUUACGCUAAUACCGCAUACGACCUACGGGUGAAAGCAGGGGACCUUCGGGCCUUGCGCGAUUGAAUGAGCCGAUGUCGGAUUAGCUAGUUGGCGGGGUAAAGGCCCACCAAGGCGACGAUCCGUAGCUGGUCUGAGAGGAUGAUCAGCCACACUGGAACUGAGACACGGUCCAGACUCCUACGGGAGGCAGCAGUGGGGAAUAUUGGACAAUGGGCGCAAGCCUGAUCCAGCCAUACCGCGCGGGUGAAGAAGGCCUUCGGGUUGUAAAGCCCUUUUGUUGGGAAAGAAAUCCAGCUGGCUAAUACCCGGUUGGGAUGACGGUACCCAAAGAAUAAGCACCGGCUAACUUCGUACCAGCAGCCGCCGUAA
rnacentral:rRNA from 1 species